ACUUAAAAUGACACUGGGGAAAAAAAAAAAGCCUGCAAACGGAAAGAGCGUUCUGUUUGGCUGUCAGUGUGUGUGCAUUAAAGCCUGGGCAUUUUCCGGCUUGCCGCCGUCUUCAUUUCUCACUAACUUUUAGGACCUGAGUUCAAAUCGCAGCAACCACAAGGUGGCUCACAACCCUCCGUAAUGGGAUCUGAUGCCCUCUUCUGCAAAAAAGAAUGAAUAUAGAAAACUAUUCUCAGAGAAGAGCGCACUCGAGCUGGAGCACUGUGGGGAUGCUGGUGAGGUGGUGUUCCUACAGAGGCAAAAAUGGAAGCGUGAGGAGAUCGCUUUCAGGACUCAAAAUUCUCCACUUCAAAGAAACGUUUCUGGAAUUAGGCUGUGCCAUUUUAUAAUGCUCAAUUCAAGAAGCAGACAAA